UUCCUCGCCGCAGUUUUCGUCUCAGCAGCAUCAGCCGCCACAGCCAUACACCUCACUCCACUCCCAACAUAGUGAUGGUUUCUCACAGCAGUUGAUGAUCGUUUGCCGUUGAAGGAGAAGAGAGACCUCGGAGAGAGGAUUGAAGGCUGAGGUGAUGAAGCCACGUGGCGUGAGCUUGAGAGAAGAAGGUGAGACGACGACGUUGUUGCUGCCAUUUUUUUCACGUUUUGGGCUCUGUUGUUUUGAAAAAAAAGUGGAAAGGGUUUGGUUUUGGUGGAGGGAGGAAAGGAUCG
rnacentral:lncRNA from 1 species